CACGUAGUUAGCCGUGGCUUUCUGAUUAGGUACCGUCAAGAUGUGCACAGUUACUUACACAUUUGUUCUUCCCUAAUAACAGAGUUUUACGAGCCGAAACCCUUCAUCACUCACGCGGCGUUGCUCCGUCAGGCUUUCGCCCAUUGCGGAAGAUUCCCUACUGCUGCCUCCCGUAGGAGUCUGGACCGUGUCUCAGCUCCAGUGUGGCCGAUCACCCUCUCAGGUCGGCUACGUAUCGUCGCCUUGGUAAGCCGUUACCUUACCAACUAGCUAAUACGGCGCGGGUCCAUCUAUAAGUGAUAGCAAAACCAUCUUUCACUUUAGAACCAUGCGGUUCUAAAUGUUAUCCGGUAUUAGCUCCGGUUUCCCGAAGUUAUCCCAGUCUUAUAGGUAGGUUACCCACGUGUUACUCACCCGUCCGCCGCUAACUUCAAAGGAGCAAGCUCCUUAUCUGUUCGCUCGACUUGCAUGUAUUAGGCACGCCGCCAGCGUUCAUCCUGAGCCAGGAUCAAACUCU
rnacentral:rRNA from 1 species